AUGUCAUCAAUGGUGGUGAUCAACAGUCUGUACUUUCAGUCUUUUUCUCAUGUUCUGAAGGAAACAUCAGACGUGAUUUCUUAUGAUGCUCUAGUACUUUCACAAGUUUAGAGGAGUCAGCCUCAGAAUCCUGGGCAAGUGCCAGUUGGCACAGCACAUGCUGACACUUUACUGUUAAAUAGGACCAUUAUUCCUUCUUCAUAUUCUGUUCUACACUUCUCUUCUGUGAAAUGUUGUUCCAGAGGUUUCAUUGCUAAGUGAUACGAUCCCUCUGGUACACAGUUUAUAAAUCAAUUUAUAAAAUGUGGUGAGUGCCUUGAUCUUCUCUGGAUUAGAGGUGAUCUGCAAAUAAACAUGCACAUUAAUAUAUAUAUUUUUAAUUUCACAGCCAGCACUGUAACUUUGAAAAAUGAGUUACUUUUAUAGCCUAUUAUUUUGCAGUGCCAUGUCUGAGAAUGGAAAUCAUCCAAGUCUGACAGAUGAGCUUUCUCUGUGGACAACAGACGUAGAUGGAGUACAGCAAUGACAGAAGCAUUAACAAUGGCAGGACACCAGGGAGCGAGUUGCAGAGCCCUGGAGCAUGAGACUGGCCUGCUUUUACUGAGGAGAAAAGGAGUGACAGAUUACCUGAAAGAAAAGGUGCUAUGACAGAAGCCUAAAGACACAAGUGAAAGGAAGCUAUUGAAACAUACUGAGAACUGUACGCUCAAGAAGACUGGGUAGAGGAAUUAGGAAAACAUAAAAAAUAUGAGAUAUGAAUAUAAUUUCACGGUUUAGAAUAGUGGCUAGAAGUCUUGGUAUUUAAACAGUCAUAUCAUCAAUGGGGACAGAUCUCUCACUCUAAGAUCUGGGUCAGAAUUCCUGUGUGAAAUCACAGACGGAUAUUGUUAAAUGUGACAAAAAAACAUUCAACAGAAAAUGUUGCAGCAUUUCCUUCUUGUCAAAUGUUGUAUAUAUAUAUAUGCAUAUAUGCAUAUUUGGAAGUCUGACUAGCCUGGAAAAGUAUGUCAGUAUCUGGUCUCAAGUAUUCUUUUUCUUUCUGAAUUUCCCAAGACAUGGAGAUUUUCACUGCAGUAUGAAUUAAACUGUUUGCAAGCUUUUAUCUAUAAAACAUCAUUUUAGUCACCAAAUCUAUUUUCUAGCAUCUUUUUCUUCACAGUACUUUCUUUGCUAGAUUUUUUUGAUAACAACUACUAAACUUGGAAGACCACCUACAUUGCUACAAUGCCUUUCAGCAACUACAGCUUUCUAAGAAAUGCAUUCACUAAUUUAUGAACACUAAAUAAUAGCCUAUUGUGUCUGUGUGAGCAUUCCCAUUUUUCCUCUAAC
rnacentral:lncRNA from 1 species